UACCAGCACCCCGAGUGGUCGGGACGUUUAUUGGGCCUAAAGCAUCCGUAGCCGGUUCUACGAGUCUUCCGUUAAAUCCAACUGCUUAACAGGUGGGCUGCGGAAGAUACUAUAGAGCUAGGAGGCGGGAGAGGCAAGCGGUACUCGAUGGGUAGGGGUAAAAUCCGUUGAUCCAUUGAAGACCACCAGUGGCGAAGGCGGCUUGCCAGAACGCGCUCGACGGUGAGAGAUGAAAGCUGGGGGAGCAAACCGG
rnacentral:rRNA from 1 species